UACGAAGGGGGCUAGCGUUGUUCGGAAUCACUGGGCGUAAAGGGCGCGUAGGCGGCCUGCUAAGUCGAACGUGAAAUCCCCGGGCUCAACCCGGGAACUGCGUCCGAUACUGGCAGGCUUGAAUCCGGGAGAGGGAUGCGGAAUUCCAGGUGUAGCGGUGAAAUGCGUAGAUAUCUGGAGGAACACCGGUGGCGAAGGCGGCAUCCUGGACCGGCAUUGACGCUGAGGCGCGAAAGCCAGGGGAGCAAACGGG
rnacentral:rRNA from 1 species